GACGAACGCUGGCGGCGUGCCUAAUACAUGCAAGUUGAGCGAUGAAGCUUGGUGCUUGCACCAAUUUGAAGAGCAGCGAACGGGUGAGUAACGCGUGGGUAAUCUGCCUUUGAGCGGGGGACAACAUUUGGAAACGAAUGCUAAUACCGCAUAACAACUUUAAACAUAAGUUUCAAGUUUGAAAGAUGCAAUUGCAUCACUCAAAGAUGAUCCCGCGUUGUAUUAGCUAGUUGGUGAGGUAAAGGCCCACCAAGGCGAUGAUACAUAGCCGACCUGAGAGGGUGGUCGGCCACAAUGGGACUGGGACACGGCCCAAACUCCUACGGGGAGCAGCAGUAGGGAAUCUUCGGCAAUGGACGGAAGGCUGACCGAGCAACGCCGCGGGGGUGAAGAAGGGUUUCGGGUCGUAAAACUCUGUUGGUAGGGAAGAACGUUGGUGAGAGUGAAAAGCUCAUCAAGUGACGGUAACUACCCAGAAAGGGACGGCUAACUACGUG
rnacentral:rRNA from 1 species